UGACGCGGCCGGUACCUGGUACUCGCUGCUAUUGCUGCUGCUGCCGGCGCCGCUCACUCCCAGCCGCUUCUGACUACAGUCCAGAAAAAAGCCAUGGCCGCACUGUCGAGGGGCCAGUCAGUUGGGCACAGAGCUUGUUUGCCUACCGACAUAACAGAUCCGAAGCGAACGACAUUUCCCUAGCCCUGCACUCAUCCCUGGAACAUCUGGAGAACAAGGACACCAAUGUCAGUCUUGUACUCAUCAACUACAGCUCUGCCUUCAACACCAUUAUCCCCUCCAGACUGAUCUCAAAACUCAAUGACGUUGGUCUGUGCUCUGCGCUCUGUAACUGGAUCCUCAGAUUUCUGACCCACAGACCGCAAUCAGGUGAGGAUAGGUAACUGCACCUCCUCCAUAAUAACA